AUUCCAGCUCCAAUAGCGUAUAUUAAAGUUGUUGCAGUUAAAACGCUCGUAGUCGGAUUUCGGGGCGGGCCGACCGGUCUGCCGAUGGGUAUGCACUGGCCGGCGCGUCCUUCCACCCGGAGACCGCGCCUACUCUUAACUGAGCGGGCGCGGGAGACGGGUCUUUUACUUUGAAAAAAUCAGAGUGUUUCAAGCAGGCAGUCGCUCUUGCAUGGAUUAGCAUGGGAUAAUGAAAUAGGACCGCGGUUCUAUUUUGUUGGUUUCUACUACCGCAGUAAUGAUUAAGAGGGACAAUUGGGGGCAUCCGUAUUUCGUUGUCAGAGGUGAAAUUCUUGGAUUUACGAAAGACGAACAACUGCGAAAGCAUUUGCCAAGAGUGUUUUCAUUA
rnacentral:rRNA from 1 species